ensembl:lncRNA
AAAAAUUUCUGGGCUGAAUGAGAGGCACUGACACUUGGAACAACUGGUCCUUUUCUAGUCACGUCUCUUAAACGUGUACAGGAAUGGGGAUUCCAUCACUUCUUUGGGCAGUAACAUGGUGAUACAGACAUACAUGAUCUCACAACUGAACAGAAAAAUGUCAGAUUGGUGCACUUGUCCUCUACAGGAAAGUGUUGAAGAUAUGUUGUGAAAUUUCACACCCUAACUCUAAAACUGAUAUAAAGACUUCCAGGUAAAAACAUCCAGCAGUUUAUUCCUAUGUAAAGCACCCCCACAGCCCUGUGUUUCCCAGGCUACUUCAUCAGAAAGGAAUUUGAGAAGACAGGGCGCACUGGCUCAGCCAGGGUACAACCAGACCAAAGAAAAAAUGGAAGAUGUAUGACUCAGAAGCAGCAGCUGUUAAAGAUUUAACUUGUGAAGAAAUGAAACUAGGACAGAUAAAAGGAAACGUGGAAGCUUCUUUGUUACCUAUUUCAUGGGUGUCAGAUAUUAAAUCUAUAACUACUCUAAAUAAAGGACACAAUAUUGAUGCAAUAAGACUAGCUUAUCAAUAUGCAUUUGGAUUUGAUUAGGGACAUCAAUAAAAAGAACAUGUUGCGAAAGGCCACCAGAUGCCUUGAGGCAAAUAAAAAUCUCAAAUGCCAUCUUCACAGAUGAGACAACAGCUCCAAUAUUAUGCACUUCCUAUGGAUGGUAAAAGGUCCUUAAAGCUCUGAUCUAUAUGCUUCCUGUAAACUCACAUGUUGGGAGAGUUUGAAAAGAGUAAAAAGCUGUAUUAAUAUCUUUGAAUAUGGAGUGGCUUCCUCUGUGAUUUGCGUUAUGAUUGUAACUCUCUGCAGCCCAAUGAAGACAGUUUGUGCAGAAGACUUUUUAUACAUAUUUCAGAUGUGUUGAUCUGAUAGCAUGCAACAUGUGGGCAAAUAUGGUGUUAUAAUGGUUAUAAUAACCAUUUCUAAUGAAGUAACCUUUCCUUAUAGCUUUGAAGUCGAUGACCCAAAGUUUAAUGGGAUUGUUAUAUUCAACGAAGCUCAAAGAAUUAUACAGGAAAUGUAACACAUGAACAGAGAGCAUUAGUGCAGAAAAUCCAACUAUUCUAAAAGUAUGUAGAAACUUUCAACCAAGAAAGGAUCCACAUUAUACUGUUUGACACUAAAUUCUUGGACCAGAUCCCUAUCUGUUGGUAUCCAAUAAAAUUCCAAUUUAUAAUGAGAUAAGGCAGUUUGUUGUUCCCUUCUACAAGUCAUUAGCAGUAAACAUCAUGUAAAUUAAAAAGAAUAAGAAAUAGGAUCAACCACAGGCCAAAGCAGAGGCCUACAAAAUGCUUAAAGUCUGUGUAUAAGUGUGAAUAAAUAAAUUUGCAGCUCAAGAACUAGUGCUCACUUGCAUUUCUAGAAUAAUAACACUUUCCUGGAUAAAACUGAAUGAAUAAUCAAUUAUCUUUAAAAAGGAAUGCCUGUCUUACCUAGUAAAAGGCUACAAGCAGAACAUUGCCAAAUAAGAGUUUUCAUCCAUCUUUUUCUCUUUUGACUAUUUUAGAUUUUUUUACUGAUAGUCUUUUCAGUUCCAGUAAGAAUUUGGCCUGAAUCUCUUCAAUUUGCAAAUGAUAUUUUCUUAGAUUGAGGGGCUGCCUUUCACAUAGUAACAGUAAGUACUUUAGAGCCACAUCUUCAGAUUUUACCUGUAUUUCUUCUGGAGGCAAGGGUGGAGCACAAGUGCUGCAAAGGUAUUUGCCAUCCAUUGAAGCAGAAACUCUGAAGUCCCUUAAGCAGCCAGCUGGAUAGUAGGAGGUGGAGAAGGUGAUAAAGGCCUGUCACUCAGCUGCAGUGUUUGCAUUCCCAAGGCAAUUUCCCAAACAGCAAAGCACAAAAACUGCAGAGUUAAUAGUACCUGUGUAGGGUAAAGAAGAAUGGAUGAAGUAUUACAAUAUUUAGG